rnacentral:rRNA from 1 species
UACGUAGGGUGCAAGCGUUGUCCGGAAUUAUUGGGCGUAAAGAGCUCGUAGGCGGUUUGUCGCGUCUGCUGUGAAAACUCGGGGCUUAACCCCGGGCCUGCAGUCGAUACGGGGCAGACUUGAGUUCGGUAGGGGGAGACUGGAAUUCCUGGUGUAGCGGUGAAAUGCGCAGAUAUCAGGAGGAACACCGAUUGCGAAGGCAGCUCGCUGGAACGUUACUGACGCUGA